rnacentral:tRNA from 1 species
GCGCCGGUGGUGUAAUGGCGUAGAGCAUUCCCGCCCGGUUAGAUGGAAGUGCGGGUUCGAGUCCCGCCUGGCGCU